CGUCCUGCCAGCGGGGCGCCCCCGGCCUGAGACUCCCUGGAAGCCUCGUCCGCGAGUCGCGGACUCGGGGCCCGGAGGGCGGCGGGAGGUCCUGCGCUGCGGUGCGGCUAUAGCGCCCGCGCUCCCCGCGGAAGAACCGCCGAGUCGAGCGCUGAAGGUGUGGCCCACCAGCAGGAGUGUCAGAACGUGCCGAGCCGCUCGAGUCGGAGUCGCCAGAACCCCCGGAAGACGAGCCGUUCACCGGCAGGCCAACUGGGGCUUCUUCGUGUAGUGGACUGACAGCCAAGCGUCGGGAACGCAGUGUCGUGGGUGUGCGGCUGACCGGGUGAGGAGGAUCUUUCACAGAGACCGUGCCCCUCCGUGGAGUCCAGGAACAGGGCCUCAAACCUGCGUCCUCAUGGAUACUAGUCAAAUUUGUUUCCCCUGAGCCAGGACAGGAACUCCCUUCAAGGAUAUUUGUUUGUUUGAUUCUUUCUGCUUUUUUGUUUUUUCUAGGGCCACACCCACAGCGUGUGGAGGUUCGCAAGCUAGGGGUCCAGUCGGAGCUGUCGCCGCCAGCCUAUACCACAGCCACAGCCACGCAGGAUCUGAGCUGCAUCUGCACCCUACACCACAGCUCGCAGCAACACUGGAUCCCCAACCCACUGAACCAGGCCAGGGAUCGAAUUGCAACCUCAUGGUUCCUAGUCAGGUUCAUUAACCACUGAGCCAUGACAGGAACUCUGCUUCAAGGAUAUUUGGAAGCAUCUAUAUUUAUGGCCCAUCUCAGAAUGCAAAAGGUUUUUAAAAAUGUAAACCUCUUUGCCUUUUGGAGUGUAAAUAUUUGGGGGCUUAAGAGUCUGAUGCAUCUGUGUGCGACAGAGCUGGUCUCAGCAGGCACCUCACUGGGCUCUCAUGAGGGGAUUUCUUUCACGGAACCGUCUUUGGUAUGUAGCAGGUGUUCGUAGGUGUUAGUCAUUGCCGUUACUGUCUGUAUCACUGCCAUCAUCAAAGCCUGACAAGGCAAGGCUUCCAGGCCUCGCACUGCCAUGAAAGAGUUGGGCGGAGCAAGGCCUGUGCGUUGGGUCUCUGAGCCUCACUUCCUGAGUGGGCAACAUGAAAAUUGAUGCCCGCUUCAAGGGUUGCUGUGACCGUUACACCAGUGUGGAUGGGAAAGCAGUUGUUUCAAGAAGCAUCAAAGGUUAAUAACACCUGGAACGUUUUCCAGAAGAAAGUUAAAUACAGGAUGGCCUGAUGCGUUCCCCACAGGGUGUACUCUUUGCUUCCGUUUCAUUCGUGUUCAACAAGAUGCGCGUUCAGGCCAUGCUCCAUUUCUGCAGCAAAAAAGGCACUUUGCAGCUAUAUUCUUUGCACGUGAUGCUGAGUAGUAUUUCAGAGCCAGGCCUUAGAAACUUCAAGGCCUGGGAGUUCCUUCGUGGCUCUGGUUAACGAACCCGACUAGGAUCCGUGAGGACUCAGGUUUGAUCCCUGGCCUUGCUCAGUGGGUUAAGGAUCUGGCAUUGCUAUGAGCUGUGGUGUAGGUCACAGACAUGGCUUGGAUCCCAUCAUUUUGCUGUGGCUGUGGCAUAGGGUGGCAGCUGCAGCUCCAAUUUGACCCCUAUCUUGGGAACUUCCAUAUGCCUCUGGUAUGGCCCUAAAAAGACCAAAAAAAAAUUAGCAAAGGAGUUCCUGCUGCAGUGCAAUGAGAUUUAAGUGUCUGUAGCACCAGGACACAGGUUCAACUCCCUGCCCCUCAGAGAGGGCUAAAGGAUCCAGCAUUACCGAAGCUUCAGCGUAGGUCAGCUUCAGCUGUGUCUCAGAUCUGAUCCAUGGCCCGGGAGCUUCAUGCGCUGCAAAGUGGCCAAAAAAUUUAAAAAGGAAAAAGUUCUUGUCGUGUCUCAGCAGUAACAAACCUGAUUAGUCAUGAGGAUGUGGGUUCAAUCCCUGGCCCGGCUCAGUGGGUUAACAUUCUGCUGUUGCCAUGGGCUGUGGUGUAGGUUGCAUAUGUGGUUUGGAUUUGAUCUCUAGUCUGGGAACUUCCAUAGCCCU
rnacentral:lncRNA from 1 species